rnacentral:rRNA from 1 species
AACGAACGCUGGCGGCAGGCCUAACACAUGCAAGUCGAACGCCGUAGCAAUACGGAGUGGCAGACGGGUGAGUAACACGUGGGAACGUACCCUUCGGUUCGGGAUAACUCAGGGAAACUUGAGCUAAUACCGGAUACGUCCGAGAGGAGAAAGAUUUAUUGCCGAGGGAUCGGCCCGCGUCUGAUUAGCUUGUUGGUGAGGUAACGGCUCACCAAGGCGACGAUCAGUAGCUGGCUGAGAGGAUGAUCAGCCACAUUGGGACUGAGACACGGCCCAAACUCCUACGGGAGGCAGCAGUGGGGAAUAUUGGACAAUGGGCGCAAGCCUGAUCCAGCCAUGCCGCGUGAGUGAUGAAGGCCCUAGGGUUGUAAG